rnacentral:rRNA from 1 species
CUACGGGGUGCUCCAGUGGGGAAUAUUGGGCAAUGGGCGCAAGCCUGACCCAGCAACGCCGCGUGAGGGAAGAAGGUUUUCGGAUUGUAAACCUCUGUCCUUGGGGACGAAGAAGUGACGGUACCCAAGGAGGAAGCUCCGGCUAACUACGUGCCAGCAGCCGCGGAAAUACGUAGGGGGCAAGCGUUGUCCGGAAUUACUGGGCGUAAAGGGUGCGUAGGCGGCAUAUUAAGUCAGGUGUGAAAUACUCGGGCUCAACCCGGGGGCUGCAUUUGAAACUGAUAUGCUUGAGUGUGAGAGAGGAAAGUGGAAUUCCUAGUGUAGCGGUGGAAUGCGUAGAUAUUAGGAGGAACACCAGUGGCGAAGGCGACUUUCUGGCUCAUAACUGACGCUGAGGCACGAAAGCGUGGGGAGCAAACAGGAUUAGAUACCCUGGUAGUC